rnacentral:rRNA from 1 species
AUUGAACGCUGGCGGCAGGCUUAACACAUGCAAGUCGAACGAGUGGCGGACGGGUGAGUAAUGCUUGGGAAUCUAGCUUAUGGAGGGGGAUAACUACGGGAAACUGUAGCUAAUACCGCGUACCAUAGGAUGAGCCCAAGUGGGAUUAGGUAGUUGGUGAGGUAAAGGCUAACCAAGCCGACGAUCUCUAGCUGGUCUGAGAGGAUGACCAGCAAAACGGGAACGGAGACCGGGCCCGAACCCCUAGGGAGGGAAGAGGGGGGAAAUGUUGCGCAGUGGGGGCAACCGAACGCGGCCAUGCGGGGUGAAUGAGGAGGGCCUUCGGGUUGUAAAGUUCUUUCGGUAGCGAGGCGUUAACUACAGAAGAAGCACCGGCUAACUCCGUGCCAGCAGCCGCGGUAUUC